GACGAACGCUGGCGGCGUGCUUAACACAUGCAAGUCGAACGGAAAGGCCCUGCUUUUGUGGGGUGCUCGAGUGGCGAACGGGUGAGUAACACGUGAGUAACCUGCCCUUGACUUUGGGAUAACUUCAGGAAACUGGGGCUAAUACCGGAUAGGAGCUCCUGCUGCAUGGUGGGGGUUGGAAAGUUUCGGCGGUUGGGGAUGGACUCGCGGCUUAUCAGCUUGUUGGUGGGGUAGUGGCUUACCAAGGCUUUGACGGGUAGCCGGCCUGAGAGGGUGACCGGCCACAUUAGGACUGAGAUACGGCCCAGACUCUAACGGGAGGCAGUAGGGGGGAAUAUGGCACAAUGGGCGGAAGCCUGAUGCAGCAACGCCGCGUGCGGGAUGACGGCCUUCGGGUUGUAAACCGCUUUCGCCUGUGACGAAGCGUGAGUGACGGUAAUGGGUAAAGAAGCACCGGCUAACUACGUG
rnacentral:rRNA from 1 species